rnacentral:rRNA from 1 species
AUUGAACGCUGGCGGCAUGCCUUACACAUGCAAGUCGAACGGCAGCACGGGUGCUUGCACCUGGUGGCGAGUGGCGAACGGGCGAGUAAUACAUCGGAACGUACCUUAUCGUGGGGGAUAACGCAGCGAAAGCUGUGCUAAUACCGCAUACGCCCUGAGGGGGAAAGCGGGGGAUCGAAAGACCUAGCGCGAUUAGAGCGGCCGAUGACUGAUUAGCUUGUUGGUGGGGUAAAAGCCCACCAAGGCGACGAUCAGUAGCUGGUCUGAGAGGACGAUCAGCCACACUGGGACUGAGACACGGCCCAGACUCCUACGGGAGGCAGCAGUGGGGAAUUUUGGACAAUGGGGGCAACCCUGAUCCAGCAAUGCCGCGUGAGUGAAGAGGGCCUUCGGGUUGUAAAGCUCUUUUGUCAGGGAAGAAACACCGGCUCUAACACAGUCCGGGAAUGACGGUACCUGAAGAAUAAGCACCGGCUAACUACGUGCCAGCCGCCGCUGUAA